UCAUAUCCAAUGCGGCAGUUUUACACAACAAUUUGUCGAGAUCGGUUCAUUGAUUUUUAAGCAGAUCGAAUCAAUAAAGAGAUAAAAAAACCACGAGAUUUAAAGUAAUAAUUUCCAAAGACAUCUCCACUCAUAUAUCGUUAUGGACGUGAUAUUUAAAGUCAUCCUUAUAACAAUCACUAUUGCAUUUGUAAAUGGCUACCGGUCCGAGGAUGCUUACCUGAAUAUCCCCGCCGAACCAACGUUUACCGAUCGUUCUGCACUGACCGACAAAAGAAAUCUACAGUCCAGACAAUAUCAUGACUUCAUUCACAAUCUGUACCGAUUCGAUAAAGAAAAUCUACAAAAAGUCGACAAUCUAUUUGAAAUUCAGAACAGUCCAACAGCUGCGCCGUAUUAUCAGCGACCCAAGCGAGCCAUUUACUUUCGACCGCUAUUCGUUUAUCGGCAACAGACACUAGAGAAAUACAGAACCUGAAGCGAUGAGAAGAGAUUGAAUUGAAAUAUCAUUAGACAAUUAGCGGUGUUGUGUGAAUGUUUUCCUUUUUUUGCUUAUUGUUGUUAUAUUGGACUUGUUUGUUGAUACACAUAGUUUUGAGUUGGAUCGGUCAAGGUGGUAAUUUUGUUACUUAAUAUUAAGAUUUAGAUUAUUUUUUACCUUUUUUUUUAUUUAUAUAAAUACCAUGAAGCACAUUAUUACUUUCGUACAUAAAAAGAAACUUAAUCCAA